UACGUAGGGGGCUAGCGUUGUCCGGAAUCAUUGGGCGUAAAGCGCGUGUAGGCGGUCCGGUAAGUCCGCUGUGAAAGUCGGGGGCUCAACCCUCGAAUGCCGGUGGAUACUGUCGGGCUAGAGUGCGGGAAGAGGCGAGUGGAAUUCCUGGUGUAGCGGUGAAAUGCGCAGAUAUCAGGAGGAACACCAAUUGCGAAGGCAGC
rnacentral:rRNA from 1 species